CCCUUAGAUGUUCUGGGCCGCACGCGCGCUACACUGUUCGACGCAGCGAGUCUUAACCUUGACCGAAAGGUUUGGGUAAUCUUCAGCAAAGUCGAACGUGAUGGGGAUCGAUCUUUGCAAUUAUUGAUCGUGAACGAGGAAUUCCUAGUAAGUGCAAGUCAUCAGCUUGCGCUGAUUACGUCCCUGCCCUUUGUACACACCGCCCGUCGCUACUACCGAUUGAAUGGUUUAGUGAGAUCUCUGGAUUGACGCUGGCUAGGGGGCGACCCUUGGCCAGACUGUUGAGAAACUGCUCAAACUUGAUCAUUUAGAGGAAGUAAAAGUCGUAACA
rnacentral:rRNA from 1 species